ACGAAGCUAUAGGGUAACCUGUAGCUUAGUGGCGGAAGGGUUAGUAAUACAUGAAUAACCUACCUUUUACCUGGGGAUAACGACUGGGAACGGUCGCUAAUACCGAAUGAGGUGUCCUGAAGAAAUUUGGGACUAUCAAAGUGGGGGACCUUGAAAGGGGUCUUGCGGUAGAAGAGGGGUUCAUGGGAUAUCAGCUAGUUGGUGUGGUAAAGGCACACCAAGG
rnacentral:rRNA from 1 species